rnacentral:lncRNA from 1 species
GAAGAUUUCAUAAAGCUUCAAAGGUACGUUUCCGAUUAACUCUAAUUUUUUUAUAAUUAGGGUAGUUUAUACAUGUUAAUCUCUAAAGACUUUAGAUGUAUUUAGAGUAAUUUUUUAUCCAUAAUUCUGCUUGUAUGCUUUCCAUCACCCAGAAAAAGGCACCCAACCUUAUUCAUACACUAUAGACCGUUUGGGCUAUAUAUUUGAACUUGAUAUACGUUUAUGUCUCUAUAUAAAGUUCAAGUCUACAUUAGAUAGCCUCGGGACGUUAGUUUAUUGGAUUCAAGAUUAUAGUAUUCAAUUUACAAUAAUAAGUCCUCAAUAACCACUUUAUUGAAUAUAAUAUAAUUUAAACUACAAACUAUGAGUUUUAUGAUAUACAUUCCAACAAACUCCUACUUGGACUAAAACUCCUUAUAUUCAUGUUGUCUUUGUAGUUUCUAAUGGAGUCGACAAAGUUCAUGAAAUUUCCUUUAAAAAAGCUAAUCAGGGUCAUCAAAAUACACUGACUGUUUUUAGAAAUGAAUGAUUUGACCAUGGUUCAAGCAACAAAGAAUUCAAAGGUGAAGGAUUACCAGUUGGUUGUUUAUGAUUGUACAAAAAAUUAUGUUAUAUGUAUUAUGAUGGUAUUUACACUGG